rnacentral:rRNA from 1 species
AUGUUAGCAAUUGCCGCAUACUAUGAUUAUGAGAUAUGGCAAAUGGACGUCAAAACGGCAUUCCUUAACGGGCAUCUUAAGGAAGAACUGUAUAUGAUGCAGCCGGAAGGUUUUGUCGAUCCUCGGAACGCUAACAAAGUAUGCAAGCUCCAGCGAUCCAUUUAUGGACUGGUGCAAGCAUCUCGGAGUUGGAACAUUCGCUUUGAUGAGAUGAACAAAGCGUUUGGGUUUAUGCAGACUUAUGGAGAAGCCUGCGUUUACAAGAAAGUGAGUGGGAGCUCUGUAGCAUUUCUCAUAUUAUAUGUAGAUGACAUACUCUUGAUGGGAAAUAAUAUAGAAUUUCUAGACAGCAUUAAGGCCUACUUGAAUAAGUGUUUUUCAAUGAAGGACCUUGGAGAAGCUGCUUAUAUAUUAGGCAUCAAGAUCUAUAGAGAUAGAUCGAGACGCCUCAUAGGUCUUUCACAAAGCACAUACCUUGAUAAGAUUUUGAAGAGGUUCAAAAUGGAUCAGUCCAAGAAGGGGUUCUUGCCUAUGUUACAAGGUGUGAGAUUGAGCUCGGCUCAGUCACCGACCACGGCAAAAGAUAAAGAAGAGAUGAGUGUCAUCCCCUAUGCUUCAGCCAUAGGAUCUAUUAUGUAUGCCAUGCUGUGUACCAGACCCGAUGUAAACCUUGCCGUAAGUUUGGUAGCAAGAUACCAAAGUAAUCCCAGCAAGGAACACUGGACAGCGGUCAAGAAUAUCCUGAAGUACCUGAAAAGGACGAAGGACAUGUUUCUCGUUUAUGGAGGAGACGAAGAGCUCGUCGUAAAGGGUUACGUCGACGCUAGCUUCGACUCAGAUCUGGAUGACUCUAAGUCACAAACCGGAUACGUGUAUAUGUUGAAUGGUGGAGCAGUAAGCUGGUGCAGCUGCAAGCAGAGCGUCAUGGCGGGAUCUACGUGUGAAGCGGAGUACAUGGCAGCCUCGGAGGCAGCGCAUGAAGCGAUUUGGGUGAAGGAGUUCAUCACCGACCUAGGAGUCAUACCCAAUGCGUCGGGGCCGAUCAAACUCUUCUGUGACAACACUGGAGCUAUUGCCCUCGCCAAGGAGCCCAGGUUUCACAAGAAGACCAGGCACAUCAAGCGUCGUUUCAACUCCAUCCGUAAAAAUGUUCAAGAUGGAGACAUAGAGAUUUGCAAAGUGCACACGGAUCUGAAUGUCGCAGAUCCGCUGACUAAACCUCUCUCGCGUGCAAAACAUGAUCAACACCAGAACUCUAUGGGUGUUCGAUUCAUCACAAUGUAA